rnacentral:lncRNA from 1 species
UGUGUGCUUGUUUGCUGGUAGUAACCUGUCUACUCAGUUUUGUUGAAUGCCUCUGGACUCAGAAGGACUAGGAACCCACAUUCAUUCUUCAACACGAUGUGAUUUAUCUUUCAGUUCUCCCUGAACUUUACCUUACUGUUAUAUUUAUGUUUUCCGUUGGGAUCCCCUUGAGAAGAAAAAAGAAGCAUGCCAAGGCACUGAGCUGCUUUAGGACAAUGCUCAGUGCUCUUAUUCCUGAAGACUAACGGUCUGGUCAGUUGCAGAAUGCUCUUUCGGUUUUUCCUACUUGCUCUCAGACAUGACAAUUCACCAUCAGUUUUAGAAAGCAUUUCCUAUUGUUGUUUUUAUAAUAUCAGAAAUGUAGAUUUGGGGACUUGCCCCAUUGCGGUAUUUUGGUUAUCAGUUUUUAAGUUUUCAUCAAUGAAGUACUGUUGUCCUGAGCCUUGUGAAUGCUAGAUCAUGGUUCUCCACAGCAAGAUAUGCCAUAUCAGCCUGAAUCGGACGAUACAGAGCAUAUCGUACCGGCUCGAACCGGGCGGCACAAAGCGUACUAUACCGGUUCAAUAUCGGUAUCCGGUAUGGGUGGCGUACCGGUUCUCAGUAUGCUAAAAAAAAUUCGUACCAUACCGUACUGCUACUGUAUUUGUGUGGCACCGGUAUGGGGUCCAGUACUGAUACAGCAAACCUUGCUCUACAAGCUUAUUAAAAGUGAACGAUCUACCAACUCCAAUUAUUUAGACGCAUCACUUGAGGUUGGUUAACCUCCAAUACCUAUUGUGGAAAAAAUAGGUGCUCAUCUUUGUUUAGACCAUUUACAAUUUAUGAUCUUUGUUUUGGAUUGGCUCGCUUGAUAGGUAUCAUCUUUCCUGCAAAGCAUAUAUAUAUAUAUAUAUAUAUAUAUAUAUAUAUAUAUAUAUAUA